CUGGGGCGAUAGUGAGCCACGGAGCGGAAACCACUUGACUUCUGGCGGAGGAAGUUUUUGCUGAGCGAGGACCCUCCCAGGCUCUGGUCACCAUCCUGGAUGGAUUCUUUAACACCGGAGGGUUCCCUGAGAAGCCCCUUAUCCAGCAACAUGAAAAUCCAAUUUUUCAACGAUAUGACUCCGUCUAAAGGAAUGCAGGGCUAACGCCAGUGAAGGAAUGGGCUUGCCAGUGAGACUGGGAGAGAGAGAGAACAGCAGCAGGCAAAGAGCCGGCUUCCUUCGUCCACGUCUUUUAUGUAGGCUGCCAGCAGAAGGUGUGGCCCAGAUUAAACGUGGCUGGCCCCACCUCGAAAAGAUGCAUCCCCAAAUAUCCGGAUUAAAAGUGGGUCUUCCCACUUCAAACGAUUUAAAUAAAGAAAAAGAAUCCCUCUCUGGUAUACCCAACUGCUUGGGUUUUAGUUAAUUCCAGAUGUAGCCAAGUUGACGACCAAGACCAGCCCAGCACAGACCCACUGCCUCUUUCUCCGUCAGGAGCCCCAUGCUCAAGUCCUGGUCCCUUCCUGUAAACAUACCAUUACACAGAAGUCUUGUGAAAAAAGAAGAGGCCAUUAAAUGUCAAGGCAAACA